rnacentral:lncRNA from 1 species
AUAAACUUGUCAUAGAAAAAAGUGUUUGAUCACAUGAUAUACUGUAACAAAAUACCAAAAAUCAAAGUCUCAUCCACUAGCAAUUUCCUAAUACAUGAAUUACAAUUCCAACAUGGGUUACAUUAUCUACUUCAUUUACACUUCAUUACAAAAUACAAAACUUCAUGAUUACUGAUCAUCAUUGUGAGAGAAAUUAUUUUCAGCAAAAGCACCAAAGUAGUAUAAUUAGUAGUUUAUGCAACAGCACCAAAGUAGUAGCGCAGCAGAAGCAGAAUUAGAGAGGUAGCAGCAGCAACGAGUGGCAGUUCAGCAGUAGAUAAUUAGUACCAAAGCAACAGCAAAGCAGUACCACAGAAACAGCAGAACUUAUUAAUUAGAGAGAAAGCUGAUAUUUCCU